rnacentral:rRNA from 1 species
GACGUAGGGGGCGAGCGUUGUCCGGAUUUAUUGGGCGUAAAGGGUGCGUAGGUGGCGAGGUAAGUCUGGUGUGAAAUCUCGGGGCUCAACCCCGAAACUGCACUGGAUACUGCCUUGCUCGAGUACUGGAGAGGAGAUUGGAAUUUACGGUGUAGCAGUGAAAUGCGUAGAUAUCGUAAGGAAGACCAGUGGCGAAGGCGACACACUGGCCCGUAACUGACGCUGAGGCGCGAAAGCGUGGGGAGCAAACAGG